AUUGAACGCUGGCGGCAGGCCUAACACAUGCGAGUCGAACGGUAACAGGAAGCAGCUUGCUGCUUCGCUGACGAGUGGCGGACGGGUGAGUAAUGUCUGGGAAGCUGCCUGAGGGAGGGGGAUAACUACUGGAAACGGUAGCUAAUACCGCAUAAUGUCGCAAGACCAAAGAGGGGGACCUUCGAGCCUCUUGCCAUAGGAUGUGCCCAGAUAGGAUUAGCUUGUUGGUGGGGUAACGGCUCACCAAGGCGACGAUCCCUAGCUGGUCUGAGAGGAUGACCAGCCACACUGGAACUGAGACACGGUCCAGACUCCUACGGGAGGCAGCAGUGGGGAAUAUUGGACAAUGGGCGCAAGCCUGAUGCAGCCAUGCCGCGUGUAUGAAGAAGGUCUUCGGGUUGUAAAGUACUUUCAGCGGGGAGGAAGGGAGUAAAGUUAAUACCUUUGCUCAUUGACGUUACCCGCAGAAGAAGCACCGGCUAACUCCGUG
rnacentral:rRNA from 1 species